GCUUAAGUGAGGAGGGUCUGCUUGAAGGUGGCAGGUCUGCUUGAAGCGGCUUCCUGAAGAGGAAUGUGCAGUGGAAAUGAUCAAAACAAGAUACUGUGGAAGAACGACGUGAGCGUGAAUUAUUCACCGUAUGUUUCGUCCGUGGACAUCUCUCUUGAAUUCAUUCCCCUGGCCUUCUCCUCUCCUCGCCUUCCUAUUAAAUGAGGUCUUACUCUGUCACC
rnacentral:lncRNA from 10 species